UACGUAGGGGGCUAGCGUUGUCCGGAAUCAUUAGGCGUAAAGAGCGUGUAGGCGGCUAGGUAGGUCCGUUGUGAAAACUCGAGGCUCAACCUCGAGACGUCGGCGGAAACCAUCUGGCUAGAGUCCGGAAGAGGAGAGUGGAAUUCCUGGUGUAGCGGUGAAAUGCGCAGAUAUCAGGAAGAACCACCCGUGGCGAAGGCGGCUCUCUGGGACGGUACUGACGCUGAGACGCGAAAGCGUGGGGAGCGAACAGG
rnacentral:rRNA from 1 species